CCUCCGAGCCGCCGUAUGCUUCGAUCCCCUCCUCCAGCUCUCGCUCUAGAUCGAACAGUGCUCGAUUUCCGCCGCACUCUCCAAAUUCUUCACCAUCGUUCUCCCUCAGCACCUCGCCGUCGACGUCUCGGAUUUCGAUGCCGCUGCGAAAUAGGAGUAAAUGGUUUGAGUCGAUAUUUGCUAUCUUGAGGAUUGGGAAAUCUCUGGAGCUGACUAUGGCAAGUUUUAAGCUGUUGAAUGAGUUGGAUAAGUGUUUUCCUUGGGUGCAUUUGUCUGCUGCUGCUGAUGAAAUGAAGUCGUCCAGUGAACUUUCAUUAAUAGUGGAGAAUGAGGUGUGGUUUGUUUCUGCCAUGGUUUCCAACAUUUGAUAGAGAACCUUGCUGAUGCAACUGCUAAACCAAACUUCCAAGCCUCAGAAACAAAGAUUAUUUAUAGCUCGUUGAAUCCUGGAGUUGAAUAAGAGGACUGUUCAGGGUGCCUUGCAGUGCAGAUUCUUGAAAAAUAUGUGUGUAGCUGGCAUCCAACCUGAUGUUGUAGCCUAUACAACAUUUAUCAAGGUUUAAAGCUUUCUUGUCACACUACCUGGGUAUUCCAGAAGGCAGAGGAUUCCAAUUCAGCUUUGGAAUUAAAUCAGGAAGCCAUAAUAUUUUGGUCAUUGCUUAUAUUUUAGGUUCAUUACUUCAAAUGUAGUUCUCUGUAGAUCGAUUAGGACCAUUUUUUGUUUAUAGAAUUCUUACAUUUGAGAUCAUUAUUACUUUGGAGUUGAAUAUUAACUUUCAAUAAAGAUUCCUUUAUUAUGUUUUC